rnacentral:rRNA from 1 species
CGAACGCUGGCGGCGUGCUUAACACAUGCAAGUCGAACGGAAAGGCCCUGCUUUUGUGGGGUGCUCGAGUGGCGAACGGGUGAGUAACACGUGAGUAACCUGCCCUUGACUUUGGGAUAACUUCAGGAAACUGGGGCUAAUACCGGAUAGGAGCUCCUGCUGCAUGGUGGGGGUUGGAAAGUUUCGGCGGUUGGGGAUGGACUCGCGGCUUAUCAGCUUGUUGGUGGGGUAGUGGCUUACCAAGGCUUUGACGGGUAGCCGGCCUGAGAGGGUGACCGGCCACAUUGGGACUGAGAUACGGCCCAGACUCCUACGGGAGGCAGCAGUGGGGAAUAUUGCACAAUGGGCGGAAGCCUGAUGCGGCAACGCCGCGUGCGGGAUGACGGCCUUCGGGUUGUAAACCGCUUUCGCCUGUGACGAAGCGUGAGUGACGGUAAUGGGUAAAGAAGCACCGGCUAACUACGUG